rnacentral:rRNA from 1 species
AGGAUGAACGCUGGCGGCGUGCCUAAUACAUGCAAGUCGAGCGGUAAGGCCCCUUCGGGGGUACACGAGCGGCGGACGGCUGAGUAACACGUAGGAACGUACCCCAAACUGAGGGAUAAGCACCAGAAAUGGUGUCUAAUACCGCAUGUGGUCUUCGGAUUAAAGCUUCGGCGGUUUGGGAACGGCCUGCGCAUGAUUAGCUUGUUGGUGAGGUAAAAGCUUACCAAGGCGACGAUCAUUAGCUGGUCUGAGAGGAUGAUCAGCCAGACUGGGACUGAGAACGGCCCAGACUCCUACGGGAGGCAGCAGUAGGGAAUUUUCCACAAUGGGCGAAAGCCUGAUGGAGCAACGCCGCGUGCAGGACGAAGGCCUUCGGGUUGUAAACUGCUUUUAUAUGUGAAGAUUAUGACGGUAGCAUAUAGAAUAAGGAUCGGCUAACUCCGUGCCAGCAGCCGAC